AUUGAACGCUGGCGGCAGGCCUAACACAUGCAAGUCGAACGGUAACAGGAAGAAGCUUGCUUCUUUGCUGACGAGUGGCGGACGGGUGAGUAAUGUCUGGGAAACUGCCUGAUGGAGGGGGAUAACUACUGGAAACGGUAGCUAAUACCGCAUAAUGUCGCAAGACCAAAGAGGGGGACCUUCGGGCCGCUUGCCAUCGGAUGUGCCCAGAUGGGAUUAGCUAGUAGGUGGGGUAACGGCUCACCUAGGCGACGAUCCCUAGCUGGUCUGAGAGGAUGACCAGCCACACUGGAACUGAGACACGGUCCAGACUCCUACGGGAGGCAGCAGUGGGGAAUAUUGCACAAUGGGCGCAAGCCUGAUGCAGCUAUGCCGCGUGUAUGAAGAAGGCCUUCGGGUUGUAAAGUACUUUCAGCGGGGAGGAAGGGAGUAAAGUUAAUACCUUUGCUCAUUGACGUUACCCGCAGAAGAAGCACCGGCUAACUCCGUG
rnacentral:rRNA from 1 species